UACGUAGGGUGCAAGCGUUGUCCGGAAUUAUUGGGCGUAAAGAGCUCGUAGGCGGUCUGUCGCGUCUGCUGUGAAAACUCAGGGCUUAACCCUGAGCUUGCAGUGGGUACGGGCAGACUAGAGUGCGGUAGGGGAGACUGGAAUUCCUGGUGUAGCGGUGAAAUGCGCAGAUAUCAGGAGGAAUACCGGUGGCGAAGGCGGCAUCCUGGACCGACAUUGACGCUGAUGAGCGAAAGCUAGGGGAGCAAACGGG
rnacentral:rRNA from 1 species